GAUGAACGCUAGCUACAGGCUUAACACAUGCAAGUCGAGGGGCAGCAUGAACAAAGCUUGCUUUGUUUGAUGGCGACCGGCGCACGGGUGCGUAACACGUAUCCAAUCUGCCCGCGGCUCGGGGAUAGCCCAUCGAAAGAUGGAUUAAUACCCGAUGGUGUGGUUUCUCCGCAUGGGGUUUCCACUAAAGGUUUUCCGGCCGCGGAUGAGGAUGCGUAUGAUUAGGUAGUAGGCGGGGUAACGGCCCACCUAGCCUUCGAUCAUUAGGGGUUCUGAGAGGAAGGUCCCCCACACUGGAACUGAGACACGGUCCAGACUCCUACGGGAGGCAGCAGUGAGGAAUAUUGGUCAAUGGGCGAGAGCCUGAACCAGCCAAGUAGCGUGAAGGAAGACUGCCCUAUGGGUUGUAAACUUCUUUGUUCGGGAAUAAAGUGCAGUACGCGUACUGUUUUGUAUGUACCGUUCGAAUAAGCAUCGGCUAAUUCCGUGCCAGCAGCCG
rnacentral:rRNA from 1 species